GCUAAAAUGUUGCCCCCACCCCAUAUCUAGGUUGGGGCUCUCUUGCAAUUAACAACCAAAUAUUUGUUACAUUGCAUGAACUCUUUUGUGUUGUAGGCUCACAUGGCUGCAGUCGAGGAUGUUUCAUGGCACUUGGAAAAUGAGAAAAUUUUUACUUCUGUUGGAGAUGUUCAUAUCUUGAUGAUAUGGAACUUGCGCACAUCAAAGCCACAACAUUCAAUUCAAGCACAUGAAGAUGAGGAUCCUUAUCAUAGGCUUGGUCAAGCCAUGGGUCUGGCUUUCUCAGUACCAGAGGUAUCAAGGUUCCAUCAAGCCUAGUCAAGAUGGACAGUGCAGAUGUGGCUGUUGACACCUUGUUGAACUCAUUCUUGUCAAGAGCACAGAACAAGACGUUCAUUACUUUAGGAUCCAAAUUUGUAUUGUUCCUUUGAGAUGUAGUCUAUUCCAUAAAAGGAGUAGUUGACUUCUCGUAUUUUGUUUCCACAAUGUUC